rnacentral:tRNA from 1 species
CAAAAGUUAGUUUAAUUAAAACGUUAACUUUGGAAGUUAAAAAUAAUUUUAAAUUAUAUUACUUUUGA